rnacentral:rRNA from 1 species
GAUGAACGCUGGCGGCGUGCCUAAUACGUGCAAGUCGAGCGAACAGAUGAGAAGCUUGCUUCUCUGAUGUUAGCGGCGGACGGGUGAGUAACACGUGGGUAAACUACCUAUAAGACUGGGAUAACUCCGGGAAACCGGGGCUAAUACAGGAUAAUAUUUUGAACCGCCUGGUUCAAUAGUGAAAGAAGGUUUCGGCUGUCACUUAUAGAUGGACCUGCGCCGUAUUAGCUAGUUGGGAAGGUAACGGCUUACCACGGCGACGAUACGUAGCCGACCUGAGAGGGUGAUCGGCUACACUGGAACUGAGACACGGUCCAGACUCCUACGGGAGGCAGCAGUGGGGAAUCUUCCGCAAUGGGCGAAAGCCUGACGGAGCAACGCCGCGUGAGUGAUGAAGGUCUUCGGAUCGUAAAACUCUGUUGUUAGGGAAGAACAAAUUUGUUAGUAACUGAACAAGUCUUGACGGUACCUAACCAGAAAGCCACGGCUAACUACGUGCCAGCCGCCGCAGUAA